UACGUAGGGACCAAGCGUUGUUCGGAUUUACUGGGCGUAAAGGGCGCGUAGGCGGCUCCGCAUGUCGGGCGUGAAAUCCCCGGGCUUAACCUGGGAAUUGCGUCCGAAACUAUGGAGCUGGAGUGUGGCAGAGGGAGGUGGAAUUCCACGUGUAGCGGUGAAAUGCGUAGAGAUGUGGAGGAACACCGAUGGCGAAGGCAGCCUCCUGGGCCAACACUGACGCUCAUGCACGAAAGCGUGGGGAGCAAACAGG
rnacentral:rRNA from 1 species